rnacentral:rRNA from 1 species
CCUACGGGAGGCAGCAGCAACGAAUAUUCCGCAAUGGGCGCAAGCCUGACGGAGCGACGCCGCGUGCAGGAGGAAGUCCCUCGGGAUGUAAACUGCUGUCAGGGGUGAGGAACAUUGACCAGCCCCGGAGGAAGCACCGGCUAACUCCGUGCCAGCAGCCGCGGUAAUACGGAGGAUCCAAGCGUUAUCCGGAUUCAUUGGGUUUAAAGGGUGCGUAGGCGGAUUUGUAAGUCAGUGGUGAAAUCCUGCAGCUUAACUGUAGAACUGCCAUUGAUACUGCAAGUCUUGAGUACAUUUGAUGUGGGCGGAAUGUGUCAUGUAGCGGUGAAAUGCUUAGAUAUGACACAGAACACCGAUUGCGAAGGCAGCUCACAAAACUGUAACUGACGCUGAGGCACGACAGCGUGGGGAUCAAACAGGAUUAGAUACCCUGGUAGUCCACGCCGUAAACGAUGGAUACUAGCUGUUGGGGGCAACUUCAGUGGCUAAGCGAAAGUGAUAAGUAUCCCACCUGGGGAGUACGUUCGCAAGAAUGAAACUUAAAGGAAUUGACGG